rnacentral:lncRNA from 1 species
UGAACAUCUUUUGAUUCAAAUGCACAUCUAUCGUACAUGUUUUGCUAGCUAGGCAGCUUAUUCAGUAAUUUUCAUAUGCUCUUCUAGUACGUAAUUUUGUCGUAUAUUUUUAUUUGUAAAUUUUUUUUUCUUGUUUUGUUUUGACCAAUACAGAAGUGACAAUGCCCGGAGCAGAAGCAAGAGUUUGCGAAUCAAGGAGCCAUGGAUUUAGGGGCCCUUGCCUUGGCGACCACAACUGCGCGCUGGUUUGCCGAAAUGAAGGUUUCUCCGGUGGAAAAUGCCACGGUUUCCACCGUCGAUGCUUCUGUACUAAACUUUGUUAAGUACAAUGUAUGCACUUUAAAACUUCAUCAUGGUUUUGACACUUGGAAUUUUGGUGGAAUUUGAUGAAAAUAAUUAGUUUGUUCUUCUAUGUACUCAAUAUUUCCUUGUCCAGGACUGACUGAGUAUUUGUUGUCGUUUUUGCUUAAUUGCUGAGUGGGAAGUAGUACGUCAAGACCAUUUACUUAUGAUGGAUAUUUUGUUGAAUUUUGAUACUUGUACAUCAGGGUUAACACACCGGUGUACUGACUUCUCACAACAAGUGGGGGCCCACGACGAAUAAAAAAAUCAUAGGCUCCCCUGUUGUGAGGGAGUCGGUACAAUCCCGGUAUACGAGUAAUAAGAUUUUAUUUUGUUACUAGUGAGCUGGGCUAGUUGAAAGCGGGUUAACUAAA